AACGAACGCUGGCGGCAUGCCUAACACAUGCAAGUCGAACGCUGAAGCUUGGUGCUUGCACUGGGUGGAUGAGUGGCGAACGGGUGAGUAAUAAGUGAGUAACCUGCCCUUGACUCUGGGAUAAGCCUGGGAAACUGGGUCUAAUACUGGAUACGACAUGUCACCGCAUGGUGGUGUGUGGAAAGGGUUUUACUGGUUUUGGAUGGGCUCACGGCCUAUCAGCUUGUUGGUGGGGUAAUGGCUCACCAAGGCGACGACGGGUAGCCGGCCUGAGAGGGUGACCGGCCACACUGGGACUGAGACACGGCCCAGACUCCUACGGGAGGCAGCAGUGGGGAAUAUUGCACAAUGGGCGGAAGCCUGAUGCAGCGACGCCGCGUGAGGGAUGACGGCCUUCGGGUUGUAAACCUCUUUCAGCACGGAAGAAGCGAAAGUGACGGUACGUGCAGAAGAAGCGCCGGCUAACUACGUG
rnacentral:rRNA from 1 species